GAUGAACGCUGGCGGCGUGCCUAAUACAUGCAAGUCGAGCGAACGGACGAGAAGCUUGCUUCUCUGAUGUUAGCGGCGGACGGGUGAGUAACACGUGGAUAACCUACCUAUAAGACUGGGAUAACUUCGGGAAACCGGAGCUAAUACCGGAUAAUAUUUUGAACCGCAUGGUUCAAAAGUGAAAGACGGUCUUGCUGUCACUUAUAGAUGGAUCCGCGCUGCAUUAGCUAGUUGGUAAGGUAACGGCUUACCAAGGCAACGAUGCAUAGCCGACCUGAGAGGGUGAUCGGCCACAGUGGAACUGAGACACGGUCCAGACUCCUACGGGAGGCGGCAGUAGGGAAUCUUCCGCAAUGGGCGAAAGCCUGACGGAGAAACGCCGCGUAAGUGAUGAAGGUCUUCGGAUCGUAAAACUCUGUUAGUAGGGAAGAACAUAUGUGUAAGUAACUGUGCACAUCUUGACGGUACCUAAACAGAAAGCCACGGCUAACUACGUG
rnacentral:rRNA from 1 species